CCCCGGGGCGCGGCCCGCCGCCGAGCAGCCCGCCGCCGAGACGCCGCCCGCGGCCAGGAAGGCCCCCCGGGCCGGGUGCGCAGAUAAAGUCGCUGGUAAAGCUCCCAAAGAAGAGAAGGAGGAGGAGGAAGUGGCCGGCGUGCUCAGCCAUGGCUCUCCCGUGGGCACAGCCCGGCCCGGCCGGAGUUGGCGCAGCAGCCGGACGGCGGCCACCGCUCGCCAGCGCGACUCCGAGAAUUCCCGUGCCUCCAGAUCCAAGGCUGGCUCCCUGCAGCUCAUCUGCAAGUCAGAGCCCAACGCCGACCAGCUGGAGUACGUGGUCACAGAAGAGCAUCAGUCUCCAGAUGGAGUCAGCGAUGAUGAUGA
rnacentral:lncRNA from 1 species